ensembl:miRNA
ACAGGUAGUGUCCCUCAGGGCUGUAGAACGGGGCUGGGAUUACUAAAGCCCUGUUCUAUGCCCUGAGGGACACUGAGCAUGUCA